GACGAACGCUGGCGGCAGGCUUAACACAUGCAAGUCGAACGCACCUUCUGGUGAGUGGCAGACGGGUGAGUAACGCGUGGGAAUCUACCUUUUGGUACGGAAUAGCUCCGGGAAACUGGAAUUAAUACCGUAUGUGCCCUUUGGGGGAAAGAUUUAUCGCCAAGAGAUGAGCCCGCGUUUGAUUAGGUAGUUGGUGGGGUAAUGGCCUACCAAGCCGACGAUCAAUAGCUGGUCUGAGAGGAUGAUCAGCCACAUUGGGACUGAGACACGGCCCAAACUCCUACGGGAGGCAGCAGUGGGGAAUAUUGGACAAUGGGCGCAAGCCUGAUCCAGCCAUGCCGCGUGAGUGAUGAAGGCCCUAGGGUUGUAAAGCUCUUUCGCCGGUGAAGAUAAUGACUGUAGCCGGUAAAGAAGCCCCGGCUAACUUCGUGCCAGCAGCCGCGGUAAUACGAAUGGGGCUAGCGUUGUUCGGAAUUACUGGGCGUAAAGCGCACGUAGGCGGACAUUUAAGUCAGGGGUGAAAUCCCGGAGCUCAACUCCGGAACUGCCUUUGAUACUGGGUGUCUCGAGUAUGGAAGAGGUAAAUGGAAUUGCGAGUGUAGAGGUGAAAUUCGUAGAUAUUCGCAGGAACACCAGUGGCGAAGGCGGCUUACUGGUCCAUUACUGACGCUGAGGUGCGAAAGCGUGGGGA
rnacentral:rRNA from 1 species